rnacentral:SRP_RNA from 1 species
GCUGGGCAUGGUGGCGUAUGCCUGUAAUCCCAGCUACUCAGAAGGCUGAGGCACGAGAAUCGCUUGAGCUUGGGAGGCAGAGGUUGCAGUGAGCAGAGAUUGUGCCACUGCACUACAGCCUGGGCGACAGAGCGAGAUUUUGUCUCAA